AAACAGUCCAAUGUAAUUCUGAAAGCUGCUGCUGCUGCAGUCUCCCAGCAAACUGAUCCCAGAGCUUCUUUGCGAGGUGUCAGAGAAGUAAAUGUUCCAGAAAUACAGGAGCUGAAAAAUUAUCCAUCAUCUCUCCUGGUGAAACAAGACCUAGCUAGAGGAUGAAAUACAAUGAAAUACAAGUUGUAAGUUGACAGUGUGGACAAGGUCAUACUACUGUGCAGUUUCAAUAGCCAAGAUGAGCAGCAUGUCCUCUCUUUUACCCAGCAUCUUAAGGAGUAAGAUCUUAAACUUCUCACUAUGACUGUCUGGAGAAUGUAUACUCACGUAGCCAAAACAGGACUAGCCAGAAGCUUCUCAUGGGUUUUUGGAGAAUCUUGGUGGGAGAUACUAAUGGGAA